AUGGCUCAUUAUAUAAGUUAUCGUUUAUUUGAUAGUACCUUGCUACUUGGAUAACCGUGGUAAUUCUAGAGCUAAUACAUGCUAAAAAUCCCGACUUCGGAAGGGAUGUAUUUAUUAGAUUAAAAGCCAAUGCCCUCUGGGCUCUCUGGUGAUUCAUGAUAACUUCUCGAAUCGCACGGCCUUGCGCCGGCGAUGGUUCAUUCAAAUUUCUUCCCUAUCAACUUUCGAUGUUUGGGUAGUGGCCAAACAUGGUUGCAACGGGUAACGGAGGGUUAGGGCUCGACCCCGGAGAAGGAGCCUGAGAAACGGCUACUACAUCCAAGGAAGGCAGCAGGCGCGCAAAUUACCCAAUCCCGACUCGGGGAGGUAGUGACAAUAAAUACUGAUACAGGGCCCUUUCGGGUCUUGUAAUUGGAAUGAGUACAAUUUAAAUCCCUUAACGAGGAACAAUUGGAGGGCAAGUCUGGUGCCAGCAGCCGCGGUAAUUCCAGCUCCAAUAGCGUAUAUUAAAGUUGUUGUGGUUAAAAAGCUCGUAGUUGAACCUUGGGCCUGGCGGGCUGGUCCGCCUCACCGCGUGCACUAGUCCCGCCGGGCCUUUCCCUCUGCGGAGCCCCAUGCCCUUCACUGGGCGUGGCGGGGAAGCAGGACGUUUACUUUGAAAAAAUUAGAGUGCUCCAGGCAGGCGUAUGCUCGAAUACAUUAGCAUGGAAUAAUGAAAUAGGACGCGCGGUUCUAUUUUGUUGGUUUCUGGGACCGCCGUAAUGAUUAAUAGGGACAGUCGGGGGCAUCAGUAUUCAAUUGUCAGAGGUGAAAUUCUUGGAUUUAUUGAAGACUAACAACUGCGAAAGCAUCUGCCAAGGAUGUUUUCAUUAAUCAGGAACGAAAGUUAGGGGAUCGAAGACGAUCAGAUACCGUCGUAGUCUUAACCAUAAACUAUGCCGACUAGGGAUCGGACGAUGUUAUUCAUUGACUCGUUCGGCACCUUACGAGAAA
rnacentral:rRNA from 1 species